GCGUGAAACCAUGUGUCUUGUAGCUGACUGGCUCUAGCUACUGCUGCACUGACUGUACGUACGUCCUGGCUGAAUCCUACUAUCUUAUUUAUGGCUCUGCUUACUACCCCAAAUAACUAUCUGGGACACAUACCGACUUUGUGAGGGGAGAUCUUCAAGCAAGAAACUUAGCCUGUGCCUGCAUUCUAUACUGACUGUCGAACUGGUAGGAUCCUCAAUGGCUAAUUAUAACACGAAAACCCUAUAGGACACAUUCUGUACAUUGAUACAGUUACUUCUCUAUACGCAAUUUACUUGUAUACGCGUACGGGGGAUCUACAGACGUGACACAAGGAAUCCUGUGCACUUAUAAUACAUAGCUAAGCUAACUCGAUAUACUGAUUGGAGGAUCCUACUAUCUCAAUGGCUACCAAGAAACCCUAUAUAUACAUUCUGGGGGAUUUUCAGUCGUGAAACACAAGGAGGAACCCUGUGCAUUUGUAGCUGACUGCAUUCUACUACUGACUGCUUAACUGGAUCCUAUCUCAAUGGCUACUAAAUUUUAACUUCGGAUGAUGUUGUAUUGGAUCUAAUCUAUGCUGCAUAUAACACUCCAUAUCAAAUCAAGAAGGAGAUGUGUAUAUUUAUACUUCGGUGCGCAAGUGCAUAAUUAUAGACUGCUACAGCUGCUCAAUGGGAUGUGCGCUUGUGUGUCAAUGGAUAGUCCAGUCACAGCGAGGUUGAUCUCUCUGUAUUCCCAGAACCUCCUGCUACAGAUCAUACAGGAGAAGACUUGCUACCAUUAGAAAAAGUGAAGAAUGCAAUCACUGCUGACUGGUACAGUCUGGCAAUACAGCUGGAUAUCGACUACAAAACUAGAAAGGUAACAAAAGCGCCCUAAACAGAUACUAGUUUAGUGAAACAGGACAUGCACAAAAUCAAGUACAACUGGAUACUCGUAGAGAUGAAGUCUUGGUGAUGAAUAAACACAAAACAAUAUACCCGUGAAGAAAACAGAAGUGAAGUCCUUGUGAUGAAGAAACAGAACAGGCAAUAUACUCCUGAAGAAAACAGAAAUGCAAAGUCCUUGUGAUGAAGAAACAGCAGAACUGAGAAACAGAACAAACAUGUAUGACAUUGUAGAAUAGUUUACUUUUAUUAUUCUUUUUGUACAAUUUUGGCCUGUUUUUGGCAGUGUGCAAUUCACACCAGUACUGAAA